GACGAACGCUGGCGGCGUGCUUAACACAUGCAAGUCGAGCGGAGCGGCGAACGGGUGAGUAACGCGUGAGUAACUGCCCCCCUCUCUGGGAUAACAGUUGGAAAAGGCUACUAAUACCGGAUAGUGGGGGAUGACUCGACUCCUAUGAGCUUGUUGGUGGGGUAGUGGCCUACCAAGGCGACGACGGGUAGCCGGCCUGAGAGGGCGACCGGCCACAUGGGGCUGAGGUACGGCCCAAACUGCGACGGGAGGAAGCAGGGGGGAAUAUGCCGCAAUGGGGGAAAACCUGAUGCAGAAACGCCGCGUGCGGGAUGACGGAAUUCGGGUUGUAAACCGCUUGCAGCCAUGACGCGGUAGUGGCAGAAGAAGCACCGGCUAACUACGGGACAGCAGCCGCGGUAAUUC
rnacentral:rRNA from 1 species